rnacentral:rRNA from 1 species
UACGGGGGGGCAAGCGUUGUUCGGAAUUACUGGGCGUAAAGGGCGCGUAGGCGGCCGACUAAGUCAGACGUGAAAUCCCCCGGCUCAACCGGGGAACUGCGUCUGAUACUGGACGGCUCGAAUCCGGGAGAGGGAUGUGGAAUUCCAGGUGUAGCGGUGAAAUGCGUAGAUAUCUGGAGGAACACCGGUGGCGAAGGCGCUGCUCUGGGCCGGUACUGACGCUGAGGAGCGAAAGCGUGGGUAGCAAACAGG